UUCUCUCUCUUUAAUAUACAAUCCCUCUUUUUCUCUCCCUUUUCACAAAUAAACCUCUCCUCGUCAAAAUUAGGCUCUUUAAAACCCUAAAUACUUUUCAAUACACACUACUCUAACCCAGGUGAACCCUCUAGUUUUAGAAAGGAUAUUUGCGAAAAGUUUAAAUUGAACACGAUUUGUUUACUCACGGAUUUGUUGAGCAUGAAAACUACAAAAGAGAGAUUUCUUGCCCAAUUGCGAUUUUGAGUAUUUGGAGUUUUUUCUAAGCUUUGGGGAAGUGUGUUGAUUUCACUGCUCUUUUGGGGGUUUCCUAAUCAGGUCUGCUUAUUUAUUUACCAAAUGCAUAUCUAUCAGAAAGGAAUUUGUAGCCACAAAAGUGAUUUGUCACCACAGGUUCAAGAUGAUAGUCCAUGUUUAUUCUUCACCAGUUACAAGGCAAAUGGUCCAAGUUGAGUGAAGUUGAUUAAUGUUACACGGUGAAUAGUCCAACCAGCCUCUUACACCAGAGUAUGAUAUGUUCGUGCAGACAAGUUAAUGCAAAAUAUGUUCAAUUUUCUCCUUAGUGCCACAAAAGUGUGUAUUUCCUAGACUGCCAGUUGAUCUAUUUUUGGAUUCCAACUGAUAUAUUAGUUGACUCAGUUUGAAAUGUACUAUUAGUUUGACUAGUACAACCAAUAUAUUAGAUAUAUAGUUGUAG